rnacentral:tRNA from 1 species
AGAGAGGAAGAAUCUGGUGGUUCAGUCGGUCUUCAAAACCGAUAGCAGGCGUAUAAAACCGUUUGUGGCAGGUUCGAUCCCUGCCCUCUCUGCCA